AUCUGAUUUCUUUUAUAGCCUGAUGGAGUUGUUUCUUUACUUCAUUUGCUAUAAUUUGAGAAAUUUCAAGUGUGUGACUUCCAAGUUCUAUAUCAGUGUCUCCUGGAGUUGUUCUGAGGGAGCUGAAGGUCUGAGACUGCAUUUUGCAUUUCGUUUUGACAUUUCUAUUGGGUUAAUAAUAUCCCUUUGUUAUUGCAGGCUGAUCAGGUCUGAAAUCUCCCAAACAAGUAUACAGUGAAGGCUAAAUAAAAAGAGGCAAAUGGAAUGAUUUCAGGGCUCUUGGAGAAUCAAGGCCCUCACAGAAUUGAAGAUUCUCUCAGGGCUAAGACCAAGACCAUCUCUGGAUGGCUGAUAUUUAUUUGGUUAUCAGAAGAAGGGAGGAAGUACUCAAGCAGGGCAGGAUCACUCAAGGACUUCUCCAAAUAAGGGCCUGCCACAGGACAGAAGAGCCACGUCCUGGCUGGUACUUGGGCGGCAUUUCCAGGGCUGAGUGCAGGGACACAGAGGGAGCUGCAGACUUGAGGAGGAAGGUCUUUUCUGUCCACCUGCCCCACCAACAUGGAGGCCGGUGGGUAACCAGCAUGGCCCUCAGCUUCUUGACUCACAGUGUUCUCUCUCACACAUCUGUGUUAGUAUCAGUUGCUACAUUACACUCUGCUCUAAAUCCUGACAGCUUGGAAGAGCAGACAUUUGUUACCCCAGUCUGUGCGACCGAGGCAUUCCAGCUUUAACUUCACUGGGUAUCUCCGUCUGAAGGUCUCCUACAAACUGGCGUCAGGGUGUGAGCAGGGCUGUGGUCCCACCCCGAGGUUACUCACUUGGCUGUCGGCAGGACUCCGUUUCUCAAGUGCUACUGGACCGAGGGCCUCCGUCUCCUGCUGGUCUUUGGCUGGAGCGGUCCCUCGGCUCCUUGCCUUGUUGGAGCACCUCACAAAAUGACAGCUGGCUUCUAUCGGAGCAACAAGAUGAGUGGGAUAGAGAAAGAAAGAAAGAAAGGAAGGAAGGAAGGAAGGAAGGAAGGAAGGAAGGAAGGAAGGAAGAAAGAAAGAAAGAAAGAAAGAAAGAAAGAAAGAAAGAGAAAGAAAGAAAGAAAGAAAGAAAGAAAGAAAGAGAAAGAAAGAAAAAGAAAAGAGAGCAAGGAAGGAAGGAAGGAAGGAAGGAAGGAAGGAAGGAAGAAAGAAAGAAAGAAAGAAAGAAAGAAAGAAAGAAAGAAAGAAAGAAAGAAAAAGAAAAAGAGAGCAAUGGAUGCACCCCAAAGUGUCUUUGCAACCUGAGCUCAGCUGUGGCGUCACAUCACUUUUGCUGUAAUCUGUUAUUAGAAUGGAAUGAGGUUCCGUGCACACCCCAGGCAAGGGGAUCACACGAGGCUGUGAAGCCAGGAGCCAACCAGCGCCCCCAGCCCACCCAGCGUGCAGUUCACAUCCCAAGCUAAUGUCGGAGGAUGCAACCUGCUGCCUCGCGGCUCUCUCUCCCCCUGUGUGAACUGGAACACUUGAAUCCAGGCAUCAGGUUAGAUGCUUUGUAGAAAAGCACUGUACCUCCCAAGACUGAGUUAAGUAGCUUCUCUGAGACCCUCGACUUCUCUGCCGGACCCCCUCCCAUUACAUAAAUGCUUGGCCACUGUCUGCCAUCCACACCUCUGUCACCUCAGGGAAGGCGGCGGCUUGUGCUGUGGACCCGUGUCUGAGCAGAGGACCAAAACGUCCUAGGCCCUCGGUACAUGCUUAGUAAAUGUUUUAAACAAGUGUUCUUGAUGGACAGGUGUGGCUUUCAUGUCUUUCUUCUUAUGAAAACCCAGCAGUAGCUUCUGCUACCAGAAGCCCAGACUCUCCUUGGAAUGGCAUGCAAGGCCUUGCUCCACUGGGCCCCAACCUUGGGGACCAUCACCAGUGACACCGGCUCCACCCCAACUCACCCUUCCUGAUGUCCACCCCCCUCCACCUGCUGCGUCCUUCUUCCACGUCACACCUGGAAUUCCUCCUCCUCCUUCAGGACAGACCCUCCUGCCGCUCACCCCCGUGGUCCCCGCCUUGGGCUCUCUCUCUGCACCACCCCACCACUGCUCAGGACCCUUCCCAGCACCCUGAGCGUGUCUUCCACCUAGCCGCUUACACAACUACCCAUCAACUGCUCGAGAGUAACAAACAGAUGUUAUUUAUCCUCCAAGGCUACCGAGAAGUAGGUCUGCUGCAAAUAUUUAGAGAAUAAAUCAAAGAAUAGUUGGCUACACUCUCUCUCUCUCUCUCUCUCUCUCUCUCUCUCACACACACACACACACACACACACACACACACACACACACUCAUUCCUCUGUACCUGAAGAAAGAAGAUCCUUCCUGGAUCCUCGCUCUUAAAACUCAAUGCAGCUGCAACUCCACACAACUUGAGGGAUGAACUAUGUCGCUGGACUGAGCACUGUAUUUAAAAUACCGUGCUUUCUUACAGCAUGUGUGGAUGUUUUCCUUACAGUAGUCUUCAAAUAUCAUACAUCUGUGCCUGUGCUUUUCAAGGCCAGUUAUUCAUACUGAUAUUUGUUUUAGUUUUAGACAAACCCCUCCAACCCUGGAGCUCUAAUGCAUAAGGAGCCGGGAAGGAAAUACAGACUCCAAGAGGAAGGCCCACAGCACGAAGCUGCUUGUUGCUGACCGGCGGGGCACAAGCUUGUGUACCCUCCUUUGCGUCCGUGUCAAGAGCACCAGGGUGAUCCAGGAAGCACAGGCGAAGGGCGCUGGGGUAAGGAUGACUUUGAACACCCAGUAAUUAGAAGCGAAGCCGUCUGGGUUCCUGCACUGGAGGUGUGAAUGACCAUGCUGAACGCUGUACUGCACACUUACAGUUUUCUUUCUUCUUUAACUUGGGGAGGACGUUAGAGUAGAUACUGCCCCCCACUCUAUUAUGAACUAAAUUAAGUACAGAGAAGUAAGGUGGUUUUUCCCAGUUAUCUACGGUGCUGAUAACGUCUGCUGGAGCAGCGGAACCGACAGCACUGGUCGAAUCCCAUUUCUACCAUUGCUCAUCCUGUGACUCAGAGUCUUUUCACCGCCCAGGGCCUCCGUUUCCUUAUCUGCAAAGUGGGUUUUGUGACAUGCAUGUUACCACGUGAGAACCGCUCAUCUCCCUGUUGUCAGCGCUCCUUCAGAAGACGCCAACUCGACCGAAUCACCGGGCAGCGGCCACCGCGGGGUUGCUUCGGGCCCUGAGACAGCACCUUCUCAGGCGGCGCCGGCGCGGACGCACGCGCCUUUCACAAGGGGCUCCGGGGGCGGGGAUUUAGCUCAGCGGCGCAGCGCCUGCCUGGCAAGGUCGUCAGUUCGAGUCCCAGUACCGGAAGGAAAAAAAAACAAGCAAACAAUCAGAAGGGGCUCCACAGAAGCAACAGUUCAAAGGGAGAAAAGCAGCGGGCACGCAGCGAGGCGCGGUCACCCCCACGCCGCAGGGGCGCACGGCGCGGGGCGGGCACACGGGCACGCUCUGAGUCCGACUCUCGGAGAGACGGCGACGUUGUAGCUCCACGGGAAGCGAAUUCCAGCCGUGGUUUUGCCUUUCCGGCCUGCGAAAGUGUUUCCAAACGUUUUUCUUUUUUUUUUUUU
ensembl:lincRNA